rnacentral:rRNA from 1 species
UACAGAGGUGGCAAGCGUUGUUCGGAAUUACUGGGCGUAAAGGGCGCGUAGGCGGUCCCGUCAGUCCCUUGUGAAAUCCCCCGGCUCAACUGGGGAACUGCAAGGGAUACAGCGGGGCUUGAGUUCGGGAGAGGGAAGCGGAAUUCCGGGUGGAGCGGUGAAAUGCGUAGAGAUCCGGAGGAACACCGACGGCGUAGGCAGCGCCCUGGACGACACCUGACGCUGAGGCACGAAAGCUGGGGGAGCGAACAGG